rnacentral:rRNA from 1 species
AGUGAACGCUGGCGGUAGGCCUAACACAUGCAAGUCGAACGGCAGCACAGUAAGAGCUUGCUCUUACGGGUGGCGAGUGGCGGACGGGUGAGGAAUACAUCGUAAUCUACUUUUUCGUGGGGGAUAACGUAGGGAAACUUACGCUAAUACCGCAUACGACCUACGGGUGAAAGCAGGGGAUCUUCGGACCUUGCGCGAUUGAAUGAGCCGAUGUCGGAUUAGCUAGUUGGCGGGGUAAAGGCCCACCAAGGCGACGAUCCGUAGCUGGUCUGAGAGGAUGAUCAGCCACACUGGAACUGAGACACGGUCCAGACUCCUACGGGAGGCAGUAGUGGGGAAUAUUGGACAAUGGGCGCAGGCCUGAUCCAGCCAUACCGCGUGGGUGAAGAAGGCCUUCGGGUUGUAAAGCCCUUUUGUUGGGAAAGAAAAGCAGCAGGUUAAUACCCCGCUGUUCUGACGGUACCCAAAGAAUAAGCACCGGCUAACUUCGUG